rnacentral:lncRNA from 10 species
GGAAAGUGCGCCCUCCCUGCAGCAGCCGCCUGUGUGUCCGGAAUGGGUGGGUUCUUGGUUUCACUGACUUCGAGAAUGAAGCCGCGGACCCUCGCGUCUCUCUAGUCCUCAGUUUCCCACAACAAUGGUCCGCAUGAGCGAUCAGACAGAUCCGCCAGGGAAUCAAGGAGUGCCACCCAGGGAAGCAAGAUGGUUGCUAGAAGAGCGGCAGAUUGGAUGGAGCAGGGAGUUCGGGUGUGACAGGAUGACUGUGGUGUGGUGGUAGGACUUCGACGUGUGGACCCCCAGGUAUUUGGAAAUGUAGGUCCGGGGCGCACCUGAGGGCUCAGGACUGGAAGUGCACUUGGGGAGCCACGGAUGCGCUCCCAGAAGUGCGCCCAAGAGGAACAGUGUGGGGCCUGAGCAGGCGGGAAGCUUGAGGAGUGCCCACCCGCAGGGAAUGGGAAGGACAGCGCAGCAGCUUGAGGAGAGGACGCUCAGAGAGUGAGCUUCAGAGGAACACCCAGGGUGUGAGGCGCGCAACCCAGGCGUGGCACAGCUGCAUGGAAACCCGGGGCAAAGUGGCAUGAGCAGCUGCCAGGAAGUCCAGAGGGCUCCGUGGUAGGCAGACGUUCUGUGACGGAGCCCACGGCAGGUGCAAGUGUGAGCUGAG